AGCCGGAAGCCACGCCUGCCCACUAGCCCGACGCCCGCCUGGCGGGAACAUGGGCUCGCCCCUCACCAGCGAUCUGCAGUCAGUUGGUAGCGCCUGCACGUCGCGCGCGGUGUUCGAUUGUCGCUGCCUGGGGAGGAGGAGCCGGAGCCGCCGCCGCCGCCGCCGCCGCCGCGGGCUUCGUUCGUAAGGAAGGGGGCCUAGGCCCGGGCCUGCGGUGGUGGGGGUUGCUGCGCGCCGGGGGUCGCUCCUGCUGUGUCUUCCGCUCCAGCUUCGCCCACUUCCCCUUGCCAGCGGGGUGGGCGCGGAGAAGACCUGCCGGAGCCAUGGAGGACGAAGUGGUCCGCUUUGCCAAGAAGAUGGACAAGAUGGUGCAGAAGAAGAACGCGGCUGGAGCAUUGGAUUUGCUAAAGGAGCUUAAGAAUAUUCCUAUGACCCUGGAAUUACUGCAGAUUUAGUGGCUACCUUGAGAUCAUCUUGGCAAAAACUCAUGAGUGAUCACAAAGGAGACUUUUCUUCUGGAGCACACCAAAUCUGCUUGUUUCCUGUGAUGUUAACAGUGUCUCUUGAUCUCAGUACUCAUUCCUUUCUGCUUUUCCAUCAGUGUGCAGCUGACCCCUAAGGCUGCUUAAUGCACUCUCCACCUUUCCAAGUCCACAAGAAUCGGAAUGUCAGUUAAUGCUAUUCGCAAGCAGAGUACAGAUGAGGAAGUUACAUCUUUGGCAAAGUCUCUCAUCAAAUCCUGGAAAAAAUUAUUAGAUGGGCCAUCAACUGAGAAAGACCUUGACGAAAAGAAGAAAGAACCUGCAAUUACAUCGCAGAACAGCCCUGAGGCAAGAGAAGAAAGUACUUCCAGCGGCAAUGUAAGCAACAGAAAGGAUGAGACAAAUGCUCGAGAUACUUAUGUUUCAUCCUUUCCUCGGGCACCAAGCACUUCUGAUUCUGUGCGGUUGAAGUGUAGGGAGAUGCUUGCUGCAGCUCUUCGAACAGGGGAUGACUACAUUGCAAUUGGAGCUGAUGAGGAAGAAUUAGGAUCUCAAAUUGAAGAAGCUAUAUAUCAAGAAAUAAGGAAUACAGACAUGAAAUACAAAAAUAGAGUACGAAGUAGGAUAUCAAAUCUUAAAGAUGCAAAAAAUCCAAAUUUAAGGAAAAAUGUCCUCUGUGGGAAUAUUCCUCCUGACUUAUUUGCUAGAAUGACAGCAGAGGAAAUGGCUAGUGAUGAGCUGAAAGAGAUGCGGAAAAACUUGACCAAAGAAGCCAUCAGAGAGCAUCAGAUGGCCAAGACUGGUGGGACCCAGACUGACUUGUUCACAUGUGGCAAAUGUAAAAAGAAGAAUUGCACUUACACACAGUGUCUUGCACUGUACUCACCCCUGUUCAUUUGAUGAGAUGAGGCGAAGUGAAUGAUGUAGGCAUUGUGACUAAGUGUUAGGCUGCUGUUGACCUUCUGAUGAUCCAUCAGAAGGAGGCUCAUCUGCUUCAGGUGGUCCUGCCUCAUCGAGCCCUGAUGAUGUGGAUGACUAAUGGGUACAAACCCGUAGUGCUGAUGAACCAAUGACAACAUUUGUUGUCUGUAAUGAAUGUGGAAAUCGAUGGAAGUUCUGUUGAGUUGGAAGAAUUGGCAAAAUAUCUGGACCAUUAAGAAAACGGAUUUUGUAACUAGCUUUAAACUAGGCCAAGCAACUAGUUUUCCUGCAAAUCAAAUUUUUAAAGCAACUUGGGUUAGACUUUGUUUUUGACCUAACAUCCCUUCCUUAAAUGCCUUCUGUAGUUUCAGAUCAGUAGGGAGACCAUAUAAUAAUUUUAUGGUACCUGUUUCAAAACAUAUUUUUUCUGUUUUUAUAAGUAAGUUGAUAUUAAUUAAACUCUUGGCAAUAUUUCUUCUUUCUUAAAGGAAAAUAUACCUUAACUUUUUUUCUUUUACACUGUGAAACAUACACAGUAGAAAUUCUGUUACUCUCUGUUAUUAAUACAUAAAUGAAAAUACAUUUUUUUCCAUAUUGGCAUGUAGCUACAAAUAUUAAAGGAGGAGAAAAGGUAAUAUAAUUUUAGGUUUACCAAAUAUGGUGUGUAUUCAAAUAAUACUUGACCAGCUUAUCUAAAAUGUACAUAAUUUUGAGGUAGCUUAUGAAUUUGAUUUUAAUUAUUAUGUUCACAAGCUUGGAAUAUUAGAUAUUAUUUUGCAUCUGUAACUAACCGUGAUCAUCAUUUCUUGUAAUUUCUUGUACAUGUAUAUUACUUGUUCUUAAUAGAUUUUUGGAAACAAGACUUUAUUGAGAUCAGUUUGGUUUUCCUGUUAAUUUACCUGUUUGACUUUAUAAUGUGUUUUAGUUUUGCAGAAGAACACUGUUGUAGUUUAGAAGGCUUUUCAUAAAUCCCCUCAUAGGCAAAGAUGAAAACUUCCCACUAUUUUUUUCCCCUCUUAGGAAGACAUACUGGAAAGAAAAUGUUUAGCAUCUUAGUGUAGUAUAGCUAUUGUAAACAGUUCAUGACUAGAUUUUGAUUCGGAAAUCUAUACUGACCAAGGAUUAAUCUUAAGGAUUGUAUAAUUCAUUAAAGCUGUGGUCUUUCCAUGUGGAGACUGAUAGAAAAUAAUUUUGUCCCAAGUCUUAUUUGCUGACUUUUUCUGUCAUGAGUGAGAUUGUUGAACAAACUGAAUAUAUGGGCUAUAGCAAGUAGCUUUACAGUACAGAUCUUACAAUUAAGUUUUGCUUUUGUUAAAGUGUGUACCAUUUUUUCUGUUUGGAGUAAGACAAAAAUUGUUUUGACAUAGGUUCCCUAGGGUACACUUGCUCUAGCAUACUUUAAAGGCCACUGUUGCAAAGUCUACAUUUUAUGCUGAAUCUGCAUUCUGUCAGGCACCCGUAGAAAGACCUCAGUACAUGCUUUGCACUCUCCUUUGCUCCCUUUUUCCAAUUUCUUAUUGCAUAUCAUUUUGUUGUAAUACAGAAAGCAGCAUUUUUAAAUGUCCGUGUUAAGAAUUGGCCCACUGGUACCAACUCACCUCUAUUUUGUCAGUUCAUAGUUGAAGAUUUUGUUUUAUUUCAAAAACAAAGUACAUUUUUGAAAUAAUGUUUCAGAAUAAAAUAAUCUCACUUUUAAGUGAUCCAUUUUAAAAUUUGUAAUUCAAUAAAGUUUUUUUUGUUGUUAAACAUA